AUUGAACGCUGGCGGCAGGCUUAACACAUGCAAGUCGAGCGGAGAUGAGGUGCUUGCACCUUAUCUUAGCGGCGGACGGGUGAGUAAUGCUUAGGAAUCUGCCUAUUAGUGGGGGACAACAUUCCGAAAGGAAUGCUAAUACCGCAUACGUCCUACGGGAGAAAGCAGGGGAUCUUCGGACCUUGCGCUAAUAGAUGAGCCUAAGUCGGAUUAGCUAGUUGGUGGGGUAAAGGCCUACCAAAGCGACGAUCUGUAGCGGGUCUGAGAGGAUGAUCCGCCACACUGGGACUGAGACACGGCCCAGACUCCUACGGGAGGCAGAAGUGGGGAAUAUUGGACAAUGGGGGGAACCCUGAUCCAGCCAUGCCGCGUGUGUGAAGAAGGCCUUAUGGUUGUAAAGCACUUUAAGCGAGGAGGAGGCUACUGAGACUAAUACUCUUGGAUAGUGGACGUUACUCGCAGAAUAAGCACCGGCUAACUCUGUGCCAGCAGCCGCCGUAA
rnacentral:rRNA from 1 species